rnacentral:rRNA from 1 species
UACGAAGGGUGCAAGCGUUACUCGGAAUUACUGGGCGUAAAGCGUGCGCAGGCGGUUGGUUAAGUCUGAUGUGAAAGCCCCGGGCUCAACCUGGGAAUGGCAUUGGAAACUGGCUAGCUGGAGUGUGGCAGAGGGGGGUGGAAUUCCGCGUGUAGCAGUGAAAUGCGUAGAGAUGCGGAGGAACACCGACGGCGUAGGCAGCGCCCUGGACGACACCUGACGCUGAGGCACGAAAGCUGGGGGAGCGAACAGG